CCUACGGGAGGCAGCAGUGGGGAAUAUUGCACAAUGGGCGCAAGCCUGAUGCAGCCAUGCCGCGUGUAUGAAGAAGGCCUUCGGGUUGUAAAGUACUUUCAGCGAGGAGGAAGGUGCUGCGGUUAAUAACCGCAGCAAUUUACGUUACUCGCAAAAGA
rnacentral:rRNA from 1 species